GUCGUUUUAUGCUCUCCAAUAUAAAACAUGUCUUUUUCCCUUCCCUUUCAGGCUGCUCCAUGCCUUCAAACUUCACGAAAUCUUGCUGCUCCAACGACCAAGCUGUGUUUUCUUCAAACUCUUCGCACAUGCAAUAGUUGAUCUGGGUUGAGCUUCAUCUCGCCUCACAAUGGGAUCUGGGUUUGCCAUUGCCUCUGGGUCUGGUUUCGCCUUCACCUCUGGGUCUGAUUUCGCCUUUUCCUCGCCUGCAUGUCCAACAAUCGCCUCUGGAUUCGACAGACGAUAGUUCUCAUGGGUCACUUUUCAUCUCUGUG
rnacentral:misc_RNA from 1 species